rnacentral:rRNA from 1 species
GAUGAACGCUGGCGGCGUGCUUAACACAUGCAAGUCGAACGAAGCAUUUAGGACAGAUUACUUCGGUUUGAAGUUCUUUAUGACUGAGUGGCGGACGGGUGAGUAACGCGUGGGUAACCUGCCUUGUACUGGGGGAUAGCAGCUGGAAACGGCUGGUAAUACCGCAUAAGCGCACAAUGUUGCAUGACAUGGUGUGAAAAACUCCGGUGGUAUAAGAUGGACCCGCGUCUGAUUAGCUAGUUGGUGAGAUAACGGCCCACCAAGGCGACGAUCAGUAGCCGACCUGAGAGGGCGACCGGCCACAUUGGGACUGAGACACGGCCCAGACUCCUACGGGAGGCAGCAGUGGGGAAUAUUGCACAAUGGAGGAAACUCUGAUGCAGCGACGCCGCGUGAGUGAAGAAGUAAUUCGUUAUGUAAAGCUCUAUCAGCAGGGAAGAUAGUGACGGUACCUGACUAAGAAGCUCCGGCUAAAUACGUG